rfam:Fukomys damarensis contig98290, whole genome shotgun sequence.
AUGGGUGUCUUACCAGACACAGUUAGAUCUGGAUGCUUCUGUCUAAUACUGUCUGGUAAUGCCGUCCAU